GACAGAGGUCCCGAGCGUUGUUCGGAUUCAUUGGGCGUAAAGGGUGCGUAGGUGGCGCUGUAAGUGGGGUGUGAAAUCCCGGGGCUUAACCCCGGGACUGCAUUCCAUACUGCGGUGCUUGAGGACUGGAGAGGAGACUGGAAUUUACGGUGUAGCAGUGAAAUGCGUAGAGAUCGUAAGGAAGACCAGUGGCGAAGGCGGGUCUCUGGACAGUUCCUGACACUGAGGCACGAAGGCCAGGGGAGCAAACGGG
rnacentral:rRNA from 1 species